AGGUUCUGUGAUACACUCCGACUCGAGCUCUGGAGCAGUCAGUGCAUGACAGAACUUGG
rnacentral:pre_miRNA from 1 species